rnacentral:rRNA from 1 species
UACGUAGGGUGCGAGCGUUAAUCGGAAUUACUGGGCGUAAAGCGUGCGCAGGCGGUUUGUUAAGACAGGCGUGAAAUCCCCGGGCUCAACCUGGGAACGGCGCUUGUGACUGGCAGGCUAGAGUACGGCAGAGGGGGGUGGAAUUCCACGUGUAGCAGUGAAAUGCGUAGAUAUGUGGAGGAACACCGAUGGCGAAGGCAGCCCCCUGGGUCAACACUGACGCUCAUGCACGAAAGCGUGGGGAGCAAACAGG